rnacentral:rRNA from 1 species
CAGCCGCCACGGUAAUACGGAGGGGGCUAGCGUUGUUCGGAAUUACUGGGCGUAAAGCGCACGUAGGCGGCUUUGUAAGUUAGAGGUGAAAGCCCGGAGCUCAACUCCGGAAUUGCCUUUAAGACUGCAGAGCUAGCAGGUGAGAGAGGUGAGUGGAAUUCCGAGUGUAGAGGUGAAAUUCGUAGAUAUUCGGAAGAACACCAGUGGCGAAGGCGGCUCACUGGCUCAUACUGGACGCUGAGGUGCGAAAGCGUGGGGAGCAAACAGGAUUAGAUACCCCCGUAGUCCCUGUCUCUUAUAC